rnacentral:tRNA from 1 species
GGUCCCAUGGUGUAAUGGUUAGCACUUUGGACUUUGAAUCCAGCGAUCCGAGUUCAAGUCUCGGUGGGGCCU